rnacentral:rRNA from 1 species
AAUGGSGAAAGCCUGACGGAGCAAUACCGCGUGAGGAAGACUGCNUAGGGUNGUANCCUCUUUUNUCAGGGAGGAAUCAAUGACGUGUACCUGAAGAAUAAGCAUCGGCUAACUCCGUGCCAGCAGCCGCGGUAAGACGGAGGAUGCAAGUGUUAUCCGGAAUCACUGGGCGUAAAGCGUCUGUAGGUGGUUUAAUAAGUCAACUGUUAAAUCUUGAGGCUCAACUUCAAAAUCGCAGUCGAAACUAUUAGACUAGAGUAUAGUAGAGGUAAAGGGAAUUUCCAGUGGAGCGGUGAAAUGCGUAGAUAUUGGAAAGAACACCGAUGGCGAAAGCACUUUACUGGGCUAUUACUAACACUCAGAGACGAAAGCUAGGGUAGCAAAUGGGAUUAGAUACCCCAGUAGUCCUAGCCGUAAACAAUGGAUACUAGAUGUUGAACAGAUCGACCUGUGCAGUAUCAAAGCUAACGCG